rnacentral:rRNA from 1 species
GAUCCUGGCUCAGGAUGAACGCUAGCGGCAGGCUUAAUACAUGCAAGUCGUGGGGCAGCGCAGUGUAGCAAUACAGUGGGCGGCGACCGGCAAACGGGUGCGGAACACGUACACAACCUUCCUACAAGUGGGGAAUAGCCCAGAGAAAUUUGGAUUAAUACCCCGUAACAUAUAAAGAUGGCAUCAUUUUUAUAUUAUAGCUACGGCGCUUGUUGAUGGGUGUGCGGCUGAUUAGGUAGUUGGCGGGGUAAUGGCCCACCAAGCCUGCGAUCAGUAGCUGAUGUGAGAGCAUGAUCAGCCACACGGGCACUGAGACACGGGCCCGACUCCUACGGGAGGCAGCAGUAAGGAAUAUUGGACAAUGGGCGCAAGCCUGAUCCAGCCAUGCCGCGUGAAGGAUUAAGGUCCUCUGGAUUGUAAACUUCUUUUAUAAGGGACGAAAAAGGGAAUUCUUUCUCACUUGACGGUACCUUAUGAAUAAGCACCGGCUAACUCCGUG